rnacentral:lncRNA from 1 species
GUCCACUGAACAUAGAAAAUAAUAGUGAGAAUGGGGCAUCCGUGUACUGUGGACACAUUAUUGCUAAUUUUGGAAUAAUGGAAUUUGUAUAAUUUUUUGUGCUUGAAAUUUUUAAUAAAUUCCAUGUUUAUUCUGUAUUAUAAUUUUCUAUGUGUGCACAACACUACCUAUUGCAAAGAAUGAAGCGCAUUUUCAAUAGAAAGUACCAGGCCACAAACAACACUAUCUACAUGUACAUCAUUACAUGUAUAAAAAAAUACAUUUUAUGGAAAGUGUAAUACACAGC